AGUCGAACGGGAAACCUUUUAUUGAAGCUUCGGCAGAUUUAGAUUGUUUCUAGUGGCGGACGGGUGAGUAACGCGUGGGUAACCUGCCUUAUACAGGGGGGUAACAGUCAGAAAUGACUGCUAAUACCGCAUAAGCGCACAGAGCUGCAUGGCUCAGUGUGAAAAACUCCGGUGGUAUAAGAUGGACCCGCGUUGGAUUAGCUUGUUGGUGGGGUAACGGCCCACCAAGGCGACGAUCCAUAGCCGGCCUGAGAGGGUGAACGGCCACAUUGGGACUGAGACACGGCCCAGACUCCUACGGGAGGCAGCAGUGGGGAAUAUUGCACAAUGGGGGAAACCCUGAUGCAGCGACGCCGCGUGAAGGAAGAAGUAUCUCGGUAUGUAAACUUCUAUCAGCAGGGAAGAUAGUGACGGUACCUGACUAAGAAGCCCCGGCUAACUACGUGCCAGCAGCCGCGGUAAUACGUAGGGGGCAAGCGUUAUCCGGAUUUACUGGGUGUAAAGGGAGCGUAGAC
rnacentral:rRNA from 1 species